AGAAUAGCAUAGCAUAAAUUAUGUUCAGAAAAGGUACAUAAAUAAGAUUUACAUUACCCUUCGUUCUAAAAUGAUUGUUCAUUUGCUUGGUGAUGAUUAUAGAUAAGUUUCCAUCAAUAGUACCUAUCAAAACAACCUCAAAACUUUCUUCGUGCACUAAUACUUAUAUUUGAUAGCUAAGACAGCACUUAGAACUUUUCUAAUG
rnacentral:lncRNA from 1 species